rnacentral:rRNA from 1 species
UACGGAGGGGGCUAGCGUUGUUCGGAAUUACUGGGCGUAAAGCGCACGUAGGCGGCUUGGUAAGUUAGAGGUGAAAGCCCAGGGCUUAACCCUGGAAUUGCCUUUAAGACUGCAUCGCUAGAAUUGUGGAGAGGUAAGUGGAAUUCCGAGUGUAGAGGUGAAAUUCGUAGAUAUUCGGAAGAACACCAGUGGCGAAGGCGACUUACUGGACACAUAUUGACGCUGAGGUGCGAAAGCGUGGGGAGCAAACAGG